GAUGAACGCUGGCGGCGUGCUUAAGACAUGCAAGUCGAACGAAGAGCUUGUAGCAAUACGGGCUCUGAGUGGCGAAUGGGUGCGUAACACGUAGGUGACCUGCCCUGAAGUGGGGAAUAACAGUCCGAAAGGACUGCUAAUACCCCAUGUGGUCCUCGGAGGUUAGAGGCGUCCAGGUCGUAAAGACAGCAAUGCGCUUCAGGAGGGGCCGUCGCGGCCCGACUCAGCUAGUU
rnacentral:rRNA from 1 species